GACGAACGCUGGCGGCGUGCUUAACACAUGCAAGUCGAACGACGUGGCGAACGGGUGAGUAAUACGUGGGUAACCUGCCCUCCUUUUUGGGAUAAGCCUUGGAAACGGGGUCUAAUACCGACUAACGGGGGAUGGGCUCGCGGCCUAUCAGCUUGUUGGUGGGGUGAUGGCCUACCAAGGCGGUGACGGGUAGACGGCCUGAGAGGGUGACCGGCCACAGAGGGACGGUGAUACGGCCUAGAGUACUACGCGGUGCAGCAGUUGGGGCUAUUGGAGAAUGGGCGAAAGACUGAUGCAGCGAGGACGCGGAAGGGAUGAGGGCUUUCGGGUUGUAAAAGUCUGUCGCUAGCGAACGGGUAGGUGGAGAAGAAGCGCCGGCUAACUACGUGCCAGCAGCCGCGGUAAUUC
rnacentral:rRNA from 1 species